rnacentral:rRNA from 1 species
GAUUAACGCUAGCGGCAGGCCUAAUACAUGCAAGUCGAACGGGAUUCAAAGUAGCAAUAUUUUGAUGAGAGUGGCGCACGGGUGAGUAACACGUAUGCAAUUUACCUUUAACUGGGGGAUAGCCCUCCGAAAGGAGGAUUAAUACCGCAUAAUAUAUUGAAAUGGCAUCAUUUUAAUAUUAAACCUACGGGGGUUAAAGAUGAGCAUGCAUCCGAUUAGCUAGUUGGUGUGGUAACGGCUCACCAAGGCAACGAUCGGUAGGGGGUCUGAGAGGAUGAUCCCCCACACUGGUACUGAGACACGGACCAGACUCCUACGGGAGGCAGCAGUAAGGAAUAUUGGACAAUGGAGGCAACUCUGAUCCAGCCAUGCCGCGUGAAGGAUUAAGGCCCUAUGGGUUGUAAACUUCUUUUAGACGGGACAAAACCCUUUACGUGUAAAGGGUUGAUGGUACUGUCAGAAUAAGCAUCGGCUAACUUCGUGCCAGCAGCCGCGGUAAUACGUAG